UUAAAUUGAAGAGUUUGAUCAUGGCUCAGAUUGAACGCUGGCGGCAGGCCUAACACAUGCAAGUCGAGCGGCAGCGGGAAAGUAGCUUGCUACUUUUGCCGGCGAGCGGCGGACGGG
rnacentral:rRNA from 4 species